rnacentral:rRNA from 1 species
CGGCGGACGGGUGAGUAACGCGUGGGCAACCUGCCUUACACAGGGGGAUAACAGUUAGAAAUGACUGCUAAUACCGCAUAAGACCGCAGUACCGCAUGGUACAGCGGUAAAAACUCCGGUGGUGUAAGAUGGGCCCGCGUCUGAUUAGGUAGUUGGCGGGGUAACGGCCCACCAAGCCGACAUCAGUAGCCGACCUGAGAGGGUGACCGACCACAUUGGGACUGAGACACGGCCCAAACUCCUACGGAAGGCAGCAG